ACUAUGAACCGAGCGGUUCCUCUAUUCGUCUGAAUGUCGGGACGUCCCGACCGCUCACGA
rnacentral:ncRNA from 1 species